GACGAACGCUGGCGGCGUGCCUAAUACAUGCAAGUAGAACGCUGAAGCGAGGAGCUUGCUCUUCUUGGAUGAGUUGCGAACGGGUGAGUAACGCGUAGGUAACCUGCCUGGUAGCGGGGGAUAACUAUUGGAAACGAUAGCUAAUACCGCAUAACAACAGUUGUUGCAUGACAGCUGUUUAAAAGAUGCAAUUGCAUCACUACCAGAUGGACCUGCGUUGUAUUAGCUAGUUGGUGAGGUAACGGCUCACCAAGGCGACGGUACAUAGCCGACCUGAGAGGGUGAUCGGCCACACUGGGAAUGAGACACGGCCCAGACUCCCACGGGAAGCAGCAGUAGGGAAUCUUCGGCAAUGGGGGGAACCCUGACCGAGCAACGCCGCGUGAGUGAAGAAGGUUUUCGGAUCGUAAAGCUCUGUUGUAAGAGAAGAACGGGUGUGAGAGUGGAAAGUUCACACUGUGACGGUAUCUUACCAGAAAGCGACGGCUAACUACGUG
rnacentral:rRNA from 1 species